rnacentral:rRNA from 1 species
CCUACGGGAGGCAGCAGUAGGGAAUAUUGCUCAAUGGGGGAAACCCUGAAGCAGCAACGCCGCGUGGAGGAUGAAGGUUUUAGGAUUGUAAACUCCUUUUGUUAGAGAAGAUUAUGACGGUAUCUAACGAAUAAGCAACGGCUAACUUCGUGCCAGCAGCCGAGGUAAUACGGAGGGUGCAAGCGUUACUCGGAAUGACUGGGCGUAAAGAGUGCGUAGGCGGGGUAAUAAGUCAGAUGUGAAAUCCUGGAGCUUAACUGCAGAACUGCAUUUGAAACUGUUACUCUGGAGUGUGGGUGAGGUAGGUGGAAUUCUUGGUGUAGGGGUAAAAUCCGUAGAGAUCAAGAAGAAUACUCAUUGCGAAGGCGACCUGCUAAAACAUUACUGACGCUGAUGCACGAAAGCGUGGGGAGCAAACAGGAUUAGAUACCCCAGUAGUC